UACGUAGGGGGCAAGCGUUGUCCGGAAUCAUUGGGCGUAAAGCGCGUGUAGGCGGCUCGAUAAGUCUGCUGUGAAAGUCCAGGCUCAACCCUGGGAUGCCGGUGGAUACUGUCGGGCUCGAGUCCGGAAGAGGCGAGUGGAAUUCCUGGUGUAGCGGUGAAAUGCGCAGAUAUCGGGAGGAACACCAAUGGCGAAGGCAGCUCGCUGGGACGGUACUGACGCUGAGGCGCGAAAGCG
rnacentral:rRNA from 1 species